AUGUUUUUAGUUGAUUUACUGGUUUAUUCUUCUCUCCUUUACGUGAAAUUUAAAGAUAGGUUGCUUUAUAGGUUGCUUUAUAGUUGCUGAACAUUAAACACGUGAACACAAAAAUUGCAAACAUAAAACAUUGACGUUAAAAAGUAUUUUGGUUGCUACUACAAAAGUGAAAUGUAAAGUUUGAAAGAACUUUAUCAUGCAUUGUAAAAUCUUCUUAUUUUUGGUGAUUACCAUAUGGUUAAUUAUAUAAUUCAUGGUGUUAUACGGGCCCUGUGACUCGGCAUAUUUUGCUUUAAAUGGAAUUUUGAAUUGGAAAAGUCUUGAUUUGCUAACUUAAUCAGGAACCAAAUCAGCUUUCAAUCAAUGCAAAUCAAUCAAUCAAUUUAUUAUAUUUUCAAUCAAUCAAGUAUAUAUUAUUAAAAAAAGAGUUAACAUCUAAUGUAACUUACAUAUCAGAGAAACAGCAUUAUCACAAUUGUCCAACACGUGCAAGCACGGAAACAAGGACGCUAAAAUGGUUAUGAGAUGAUGGUGAUAAAUCUUAACUUAAAUUUUUUGUAUGUUUAUAUCAGAAGUAAACAAAAAGUCAACAUCCUCUUUGGUCAAUUGAAGCAGACAAUAGCACUGUUACAACCGAUAUAAACAUAGUCAUAUUUUUUUUAUUCUGUCUUCAAAACUGAAACCUUAAGGUAUGCCAACAUUCGUGGAAAGUUGUUGAAAACUUGUUUACAAUUGAAGACGUUCAAAGUAAUCAUGAAAAAACUAAAUCAACUGGUAUAUAUAUGAAGUGUUGUGGGACCUUCUAAAAUAUUUUUCAUUCUAAAAUUUUUAAAAAUCAGUGUUUUUUAACUGCUUAAGGUGCAUCAUUCAAAAUUAAAAUAAAGUUAUUCAACUGUUUUAUUAAAAUUUAUUCAAAAGUAUCCAGCGUCUGGAAAGAACAAAGAAGAUGAUAAUUAAAUGGAUGACUAAACUAAAAAGAAUGAUGUGACUAAAAGAAUAUUAAAUGAGCAAUAAUUUCAGAUCAAUGAUUUCAGAUGGUCUGGAAUAUAAAUAUCAUAAGUAUCAUAAGUAGGAACUAUAAGCAAAGAUAAAACCUGUUACAGAUGACGGGAUAAAGCGUGUUGAGUUACAAUUAAGAGUGUGUUCCAGAUGACAUCACAAAGCUUCAGUUAAAGAAAGAAGAUGCUCAAGUUUAUGUAUAUCUGGAAAAAAGUUCAUAAUUUGUGGAUUUCCUUUCAAAUGUACUCCUUGUUUAUUGAGGCCAAAAUGGAAUCAAGCCAAUAUGGAUACCCACUUCAGUGAAGCAUAUUCUAGUGAGCGCGUUUCAAUCAAGCCAAUAUGGAUACCCAGUUCAGUGAAGCAUAUUCUAGUAAGUGCCUUUUCCAUUGGUCAAAACAAAUGGUAGUCAGACAGAACAAGAUAUUGGCUUGAUGAUCUGCACAAGUGUUUCGAGACCAAAUGCAAAACGAGACAGCAAAAACAUGAAUUACUUUUGUGCUAUUAGAAUUUGAAUUAUUAAUUUCAAACGAAACCUCUUAUAUGUUUAUGAAAAAAAUGUAUUUUAGAAA